rnacentral:rRNA from 1 species
UACAGAGGUCCCGAGCGUUUGUUCGGAUUCAUUGGGCGUAAAGGGUGCGUAGGCGGCGGGGCAAGUCUGAUGUGAAAUCCCGGGGCUCAACCCCGGAACUGCAUUGGAUACUGCCUUGCUAGAGUACUGGAGAGGGAACUGGAAUUUACGGUGUAGCAGUGAAAUGCGUAGAGAUCGUAAGGAAGGCCAGUGGCGAAGGCGAGUUCCUGGACAGUUACUGACGCUGAGGCACGAAGGCCAGGGGAGCAAACGGG